rnacentral:rRNA from 1 species
AAUCUGCCGCAAUGGUCGAAAGUCUGACGGAGCAACGCCGCGAGAGUGAUGAAGGUAUUCGGAUCGUAAAACUCUGUUGUUAGGGAAGAACAAGUAUCGACGUCACGGCCGGUAUCUUAACGAUACCUACCGAGAAAGUCACCGCCAACUACGUCUCAGCAGCCGCGGUAAUACGUAGGUGGCAAGCGUUGUCCGGAUUUAUUGGGCGUAAAGCGCGCGCAGGCGGUCUUUUAAGUCUGAUGUGAAAUCUUACAGCUUAACUGUAAGCGGUCAUUGGAAACUGGGAGACUUGAGUGCAGAAGAGGAGAGUGGAAUUCCAUGUGUAGCGGUGAAAUGCGUAGAGAUAUGGAGGAACACCAGUGGCGAAGGCGACUCUCUGGUCUGUAACUGACGCUGAGGCGCGAAAGCGUGGGGAUCAAACA